rnacentral:rRNA from 1 species
GGAUGAACGCUGGCGGCGUGCUUAACACAUGCAAGUCGAACGAAGCACUUUAUUUGAUUUCCUUCGGGACUGAUUAUUUUGUGACUGAGUGGCGGACGGGUGAGUAACGCGUGGGUAACCUGCCUUGUACAGGGGGAUAACAGUUGGAAACGGCUGCUAAUACCGCAUAAGCGCACAGCAUCGCAUGAUGCAGUGUGAAAAACUCCGGUGGUAUAAGAUGGACCCGCGUUGGAUUAGCUAGUUGGUGAGGUAACGGCCCACCAAGGCGACGAUCCAUAGCCGACCUGAGAGGGUGACCGGCCACAUUGGGGCUGAGACACGGCCCAAACUCCUACGGGAGGCAGCAGUGGGGAAUAUUGCACAAUGGGCGAAAGCCUGAUGCAGCGACGCCGCGUGAGCGAAGAAGUAUUUCGGUAUGUAAAGCUCUAUCAGCAGGGAAGAUAAUGACGGUACCUGACUAAGAAGCACCGGCUAAAUACGUG